rnacentral:tRNA from 1 species
GGAAGGGUGGCUCAGUGGUAGAGCAAUUCGGCAGCGACCGUCGCACGGUCGCGCCGGCUUACGGCUUCGCGUGGUUCGACUCCCGCCCCUUCCA